UACAGAGGUCUCAAGCGUUGUUCGGAUUCAUUGGGCGUAAAGGGUGCGUAGGCGGCGCGGUAAGUCGGGUGUGAAAUCUCGGAGCUUAACUCCGAAACUGCAUUCGAUACUGCCGUGCUUGAGGACUGGAGAGGAGACUGGAAUUUACGGUGUAGCGGUGAAAUGCGUAGAUAUCAGGAGGAACACCGGUGGCGAAGGCGGUUCUCUGGGCAUUACCUGACGCUGAGGAGCGAAAGCGUGGGGAGCAAACAGG
rnacentral:rRNA from 1 species